AUUCUGGCUCAGGAUGAACGCUGGCGGCGUGCUUAACACAUGCAAGUCGAACGGGAUCCAUCGGGCUUUGCUUGGUGGUGAGAGUGGCGAACGGGUGAGUAAUGCGUGACCGACCUGCCCCAUACACCGGAAUAGCUCCUGGAAACGGGUGGUAAUGCCGGAUGCUCCGACAUGACGCAUGUCGUGUCGGGAAAGAUUCAUCGGUAUGGGAUGGGGUCGCGUCCUAUCAGCUUGAUGGCGGGGUAACGGCCCACCAUGGCUUCGACGGGUAGCCGGCCUGAGAGGGCGACCGGCCACAUUGGGACUGAGAUACGGCCCAGACUCCUACGGGAGGCAGCAGUGGGGAAUAUUGCACAAUGGGCGCAAGCCUGAUGCAGCGACGCCGCGUGCGGGAUGACGGCCUUCGGGUUGUAAACCGCUUUUGACUGGGAGCAAGCCCUUCGGGGUGAGUGUACCUUUCGAAUAAGCACCGGCUAACUACGUGCCAGCAGCCGCGGUAAUACGUAGGGUGCAAGCGUUAUCCGGAAUUAUUGGGCGUAAAGGGCUCGUAGGCGGUUCGUCGCGUCCGGUGUGAAAGUCCAUCGCUUAACGGUGGAUCCGCGCCGGGUACGGGCGGGCUUGAGUGCGGUAGGGGAGACUGGAAUUCCCGGUGUAACGGUGGAAUGUGUAGAUAUCGGGAAGAACACCAAUGGCGAAGGCAGGUCUCUGGGCCGUCACUGACGCUGAGGAGCGAAAGCGUGGGGAGCGAACAGGAUUAGAUACCCUGGUAGUCCACGCCGUAAACGGUGGAUGCUGGAUGUGGGGACCAUUCCACGGUCUCCGUGUCGGAGCCAACGCGUUAAGCAUCCCGCCUGGGGAGUACGGCCGCAAGGCUAAAACUCAAAGAAAUUGACGGGGGCCCGCACAAGCGGCGGAGCAUGCGGAUUAAUUCGAUGCAACGCGAAGAACCUUACCUGGGCUUGACAUGUUCCCGACAGCCGUAGAGAUACGGUCUCCCUUCGGGGCGGGUUCACAGGUGGUGCAUGGUCGUCGUCAGCUCGUGUCGUGAGAUGUUGGGUUAAGUCCCGCAACGAGCGCAACCCU
rnacentral:rRNA from 1 species